rnacentral:misc_RNA from 1 species
GAAAUGCGAUAAGUAGUGUGAAUUGCAGAAUUCAGUGAAUCAUCGAAUCUUUGAACGCACAUUGCGCCCCUUGGUAUUCCAUGGGGCAUGCCUGUUCGAGCGUCAUUUGUACCCUCAAGCUCUGCUUGGUGUUGGGUGUUUGUCCCCGUCUCCGCGCGUGGACUCGCCCCAAAGUGAUUGGCAGCCGGCGUACUGGUCCCGGAGCGCAGCACAUGUCGCGCAAACGAGUGCCUUGGUACGGCGGCGUCCAUAAGCCCCUCUCUCACGCUCUUGACCUCGGAUCAGGUAGAGAUACCCGCUGAACUUAAGC